GACGUAGGGCGCGAGCGUUGUCCGGAUUUAUUGGGCGUAAAGAGCUCGUAGGCGGUCUGUCGCGUCUGGUGUGAAAAUCCGGGGCUCAACCCCGGACUUGCAGUGGGUACGGGCAGACUAGAGUGUGGUAGGGGAGACUGGAAUUCCUGGUGUAGCGGUGAAAUGCGUAGAUAUCGAGAGGAACACCUGCGGCGAAGGCGGGUUGCUGGGCUGACACGUGACGCUGAUGCGCGAAAGCUAGGGGAGCGAACGGG
rnacentral:rRNA from 1 species